CCCUUGACGUCUCAGCCAUGAUUCUACACAAAGUUACCACAUCCUUUCUGAACAUCUUUAUUCAAAAAGCUGACACACAAUUGUUUGCUAAGCUAUUAAUUGAAGCCUACUAACCGACACUUUCAGAAGACUUCGUUCCAGUUUUUUCAGUUUCCCUGUAGGUAAUCCAGACAGGCUGGGUGCUGGAGAGGGCUCUGGACUCCUAACAUCAAUUCUCGUCUGUGCAGUCGACACUCAGAAGCAUCACUUCAGCACUGAUUCCAUGAUCUGGAACAUUUUGAAAUCCUACCAGAUGGGGCACAAGUCAUUGAGCAGUGGCAGUUUCUGACUUCAAGGACUUUGUUCACCAGCAGACUCCUUGAUGAUUACCUGUAUUUACAGCAUUUGCAUCUGUCUGUCUUUAAAGUGAUCUAAUAUGUAUUGACUAUG